CAAAAAAGGAAUCAGUUUUUUCAACCGCGGCUUCGUCCGUCCGCUGUCCGAUGGUGCGUCUAAUUUUAAAACGGGAUAAGUGGUGCGUCGGAAUCUUGCUAGGAAUGGAGAAGCUGAGCUGACGUGAAUAUACCAUUCUGGUUUUCAGGCCAGGGAAUGCCACGGUCGAGGCCACGGCUUAGGUCCUGUCGGCAACGGAAUUGGAAGAUAAUAUGCAUGUUCCGGCGGUUUUGAAAAGACUAAAUAACCAUCGCAGUGUCUACGUGCCCAAUAUGCGCCUCCGACGGGUGCUUUGGUGAUUCUGUUGAAGCGGCAAUUUAUUUGAAUAAUAAAUUAUAAAACCCAGAUUAAUCCACCUAGCGGUGAUGGUGCCUUUCUCGUUAGUUCAAAAGGUUUGGAAAAAUCUAAAAUAACACCAAUAUGUGGAUUGGUCUUAUUUUUCAUAUUUGUUUAUAUGCAUAAAAAAAAUCUCGCCAAACGCAAUUUGUUGCAAAUAAAUCGGAUGAGCAUAAGAGCAAAAAA